rnacentral:rRNA from 1 species
UACGGAGGAUGCGAGCGUUAUCCGGAUUUAUUGGGUUUAAAGGGUGCGUAGGCGGUUAUAUAAGUCAGUGGUGAAAGUUUUCGGCUCAACCGGAAAAUUGCCAUUGAUACUGUAUAGCUAGAAUAUGGUUGCUGUGAGUAGAAUGUGUGGUGUAGCGGUGAAAUGCAUAGAUAUCACACAGAAUACCGAUUGCGAAGGCAUCUCACAAAGCCAUCAUUGACGCUGAGGCACGAAAGUGUGGGGAU